UCAGUCACUUAAUCUUUAAAAACAAUAAUAAUUUAACAACACUGUUAAAUGUUUGGAAAUAUCAAAAUGGAUCUAUCCAUUUUUCAUAUUGUACAUUUAAAUGUUGUGAUGACUGAUUUUAGUUUUUAGUGUUUUUUUAUUUAUUUAUUGGGAUUAAAUAGUAUAGAUUUUUGAUAUAGGAACCUUUAUCAGUUAUUAGCCAUAGCAUGAUAAUAAUUAUCGGCUAACCGAUAUUAGUCAGAAUCAAUAUUUCCACUUCCCUAAACUACAAAGAGAAACUCAUAGUUCUUUCAUUAAUUUAAUAUUGAUUGAAUUGGGAUGAAAUUGGGUGCGCUUUCUGCAUUCUCAGUAUCCGUGAAUAUCUUCCUGAUACCAGUCACUAAAAUGAACGAAAAUGUUAUGAGAAAUACAGUAGGCUAUAUCUAAUGAAGCUUUAAGUGUCUAUUAUUAAAUAAGGUCAGACAUGUUGAAAACAAAUAUUCUCUGAUAAAAUAAUCCGUAUGAAACCAACGCGAGGUACAGUGUCUCCCGUCUGAGCUCACCUGUAUCACACCCACGCACAUUGCGCGCUAUAAGAUCAUCAUCCACACGAAACCAGGCUUGAAACGCGAUAACAUGUAAAUGUCCACCUCCAUAUACAAAGAAAGAUUCAAGUUCAUCUCGGCUACUUUUCGUUUUUGGAAGAAGAUGCGCUUCUUAAAGAAUAAGCAAUUGUGAUGCAGACGCAGCUUAAUGCAGCGGAUGAUCUCAUUCUGGUGAGUCUUUUAUUUUUUACUUAUUAGUGUUACUGUGACAGGGGUGGAUUUAGUGAAUUGGGGGCCCAGGUUAAAUAUAGGAAUGGGGCCCUAUACAUUUGCACACAUUUUCCUAGAUAAACCUUGAGGUUUCUUUUUUGUUGUGAUGCUUAAUGCUGCACAAUGGUGCCCCAUAGUUGUGUCCAGUGUUUCUACUAUUUGAAGCAUGUGUGGUUAAUUUUAGUCUGUGAUUUUAAUCAUGUCUUUUGCAGCCAAACUUGUCCAUCCUAUAAAUAAUUUUCAUCACCAAUAGUUGAAUGAGUAACAAAGGUCACAUAGUUCAAGCGUCUCCACUGUCCUCAUCACGUGUGGCCAUUUAAAGUGCAAAAUCACAUUACAAGCAGCUGUGAAGGACUAGGACACGUGAGUGUGGUUAUACUCUGCUUCCCGUGUGUGUGUGUGUGUCAAAGUUCAACAGUCACGCAGACACUAUUAGUGCUAUAAGCGUUUAGGCAGACUGGGGUUGAAUUCUUGAUGCUCAAGACAGUCAAGGUAGAGUCAGAUGGUAGGGUUUCCAUAGCAACGCCAUGAGGGUGCCUGCCGAGCCCCUGUGUCUAGGUGUGAGUAGAAAUGAAUCUGAGCACUCUGGGUAACCCAGAUUGAUCUCGCACAGAGAUAUGAAAGCCUCGCAGCAUGACCACUGACCUGCAAUUACCUCAUAACUUGCACUGCAGGAGGGUUAAUUACCUUUUAUUAAAGCAGAGAGUGGACCCAUGUUGGGAUGUAUUCUGCUGUGUCUGAUCUACUGUAAUAGAGAACUAAACCUCAACAAAAUGUUAAUGUUGAACCAUUCUGAUGAAGAGUUCAAGAUGGACUCACAAUAGCAAAGUAAACUAAAUUUUAAUUUUGUAUUAAUUUUUUCUCUAAUUCAUUAGUUCAGUAAUACAUAGCCCGGACAUGACAUGCAGGGAAAAAAAAUUAUAUCAUGGACACAAUAUAUCAUGUUCCCGCGACAUACUAUGCCAGAAUGAUUUACUAAUUCUUUCUUUUGUUUUAAGUAAAUCGUAAGCA
ensembl:lncRNA